rnacentral:lncRNA from 1 species
GAGCAGUGGAGCCUAGAGAGGAGCUGCGGCAGCUAGAGGCUGGAGCUAGGGUUGGGAUUUGGGGCUGAGCGCGACGGUGGGCCUCUGGUGGGCCGCGAGUGCCGCCCGGGGCUGCAGCCCAGGCAGCCCCGGGUGGAGAUCCGCCCCUGCUUAUGCCUAUAUUGUUGCUGAUUGGCUUACCAACAUUGACUUCACAAGUAACUCAUCUUCAUGCGCUAGUGACGAUGAAGACAAGAUGGUCGCACUUGCUAUUGACUUUUCUUCUCUACCACCAUCACUGCCAUCAUCCACUACACACUCAUGUCUUAUGGCAAAAGGUGAUCGAACGGUAUAAAACUAUGAUUAUAGCAAUGAUAGUGAUAGCGAUGAAGAAUUCAU